UGAACACAUCAUGAAAUCAGAGUCCCGUUGCAGUCAGUUGUGAAACCAAACUUCUUUGAACAACAAAUUUCAGCAGUGCUGUUAUCUAAAAGUUGGAGACAAAGGAAUCCUUUGCUUUCUUUCAAGAUAAUCUUAAUUAACCUGGUGAAAUAACCAUGCCAUCUUCCUAAGCAGAUAGAAUCUAUGCCACUAAUGAUAUGUGAACGCAGACUGAAGAUUUACCCUCAGAUGAGACACUUCUUGGAUCUCUCUCUUUUGGUCACUGUUUUCAUGACAAAUGUUCUACUACUGCUCAACUCCAAGGCUAUUUUUUCUCUUUACCAUCUGCUUUUUCUACUAUAGGAGUAGUCCUCAAGAUGUCAUGAACUUGCUUUGUGGUACCACACAUUUGAAUUGCUGACCUUGCAGUGACAGUACUUGUGAGAUUUGCAGAUCAUUUUAUGCAGUCAUUAAAUUGAUUGCUGUGAAAGUUUCUGAACAUCUGAGUCUUCACCAAAAGCAACCUCAAACCCAUUACUCAUUAACUGCAUUUGCUUUAUAGCACUUAUAGCUUGGAAACAGCACUGAAGGUAUACUAGGAAUUUCAGUUCAUUCCUCUUGCAAAAGACAGUGGAACAACUCUAUCCUGCUACAUAAGGUCUAUCCCUUCAUAUACUCUAUUGGAACUGAAAUAAACCCAGAAUGUGCCAUGCACUUUCCACAGAAGAAUGGAAUGUCCUUUAGCAUUAGAACAAGGAUUCCAACUAGCCACAAAAGGUAUUCUAUAUUUAGAAAAGACACUUCCAUACCUGAGGCUAUUUUGAAGAAGUCUGUCUUGGAAAAUAGUGGAGAGUGUGCAGGAGAUAUGGGGAGCCCUUUUAUUUAUUUUUUUUUUUUUUUGGCUUGCUGUUAAGCUGGGUCUAUCUUAAGGCACCCAUUAGAAGUUGAUAGGACAGAUGAAUGAGCAUGCUGCUAAAACACCUGAAUGGGGAAUACUAGUGAGAUAGCUCAGCAGGAGCAUGGAUGAGAAAGAGAGACCAGGUCAUAGUGACAGGAGUGGUAAUGCUAUUGUGUUUUCUGAACAAAAAGUAAAGCUUAUGUGUCAAGAUCUGCAUGGAUUUAAACACUUCGUAUGGAAGGCUUUUUUUUUUUUCAACUAUGUUUUAAUGGCUCUAUUAGCACUUGCUAAAUUUUGAAUAUUGUUCAUUUAUGAUAUUUGCAAUCCACCCCCAUGACUCUUCUAUAGCUAGUCUAAUACAUGCUGUAUGUGUAUAAUUGCCCAUUAUUCCACUGAAAUUACAGGCAGUCACAUCAUGUGCAUUAUUUUAAAUGUAUUGUCAUCGCAUGUGUCAUAAAUUAUCAGCUUUGGAGCUACUAGCUGCAUGCUUCAGCAACAGCGGGAUUACUGGAUGAAUUCGAUGUGGAAUACGACAUAAAUAUUCAUGCAGAGACUGUACUCAUGUUCAUGAAGUGUUUUCAGACUUGAGGACUCCAUCAGUUGCCAACAUUUCUCAAAGAUGAGAACUACACAGAUAACUCCCUGGACAAUUAAUUAUUCAUUCAUUUUGCAUAAUCUUCAAGCUUAGUUUCAUCCGUUGUUUAAAAUGCAUGCAGAGAAAGCCUUUUGUUCUGGAGGAAGUGAAUAGCAGAUGAGAAGCUUCCUGGAAGACUGCAUCCUUUUUACCUACACUGAAUUGUGUGGGUUAAAAAAGGUUUGUAUCAGCAAUGGGGUACAUCCACCAGAAUUGUCAGCUCUCUGCUCUUUGUGGUUGUUGUCCAAAGUUGGCUUUGGUAGAAAUAUGACAAAUAAAAUGAAAAUAGAUUUA